rnacentral:rRNA from 1 species
UACGAAGGGGGCUAGCGUUGCUCGGAAUCACUGGGCGUAAAGGGCGCGUAGGCGGCCAUUCAAGUCGGGGGUGAAAUCCCCAGGCUUAACCUGGGAACUGCAUUCGAGACUGCAUUGCUAGAGUAUGGGAGAGGGAAGUGGAAUUUCCGGUGUAGCGGUGAAAUGCGUAGAUAUUGGGAGGAACACCAGUGGCGAAGGCGGCUCACUGGACCGGAACUGACGCUGAGGCGCGAAAGCGUGGGGAGCAAACAGG